rnacentral:lncRNA from 1 species
GGGAAAACGAAGCGGAAAUAAGGUUCCUGACCGAGCUGCUCGGGGAUCGAGAUUUGGAAAUUCGUGAGUUUAUCCCACGGAAUCUUCCCCCCCCCCAAAAAAAAAAAGGGGGAAAUUCCCCUAUUUUGACUAUUUUUAUUGCAACAAAUCUACAUUUGGAGGCAAAAUGAUUCGAUGGAUUAAUUUUUCUCUAUUUUCCUUGAUUUUUAGGCAACCAGGAUUGUGUCAUUAGUGAGUGUGGGGGUUGAUGUGCUGGGGGUGGUUUUGCUGCUGGUUUGGCUUUAAAAUCCCUAAAUUAAUUUAAUUAGGUACAAAAUAAUCCAAUUAAGAGGCGUGAGAGUAUCAGGUUUGCCUUAAACAUGUUGAUUAAUUGAGUUAAGUAAAGGAGAAAAUGAAUUAAGUAAAAAUAAAUGGAAUCAAGUAUAAAUAAAUGGAAUUAAGAGGUGUGCGAGCGUCUGCCCCCGUUAGAGAAAAGCAUUAAUUAAAUAAAUGUUAUUCUUUCCUUUUUCAGGGAAGUUGCGGGAGGAGCUCGCGGAAUUAAAGUAUCGAGAAGCUGGUAAGUGAAUUAUUUUCCUUCCUAUUGAAAAUAGAAUAUUCAAGGGAAUUUAUAAUUAAACAUUUUAUAUACUCAAAUACCCAAACGACGCCCCCUAAUUAUGCAAAAACCCCCAAUUAUGACCAAUUCCGCCUUUUUUUGGACGAAACUCCUUUUCCGCUUUGAAAACCCUCAUCAAAAUGCCUUUUAAAUGGGUUUGAAUUGAUUCUUUGCGCAGGAAAUCGCGUCGACGAGCACAGUAAGUGAGUUUUUCACCCUUUUACCAACCCC